AACGAACGCUGGCGGCAUGCCUAACACAUGCAAGUCGAACGAGACCUUCGGGUCUAGUGGCGCACGGGUGCGUAACGCGUGGGAACCUGCCCUUAGGUUCGGAAUAACUCAGAGAAAUUUGAGCUCAUACCGGAUGAUGUCUUCGGACCAAAGAUUUAUCGCCUUUAGAUGGGCCCGCGUUGGAUUAGCCAGUUGGUGGGGUAAAGGCCUACCAAGGCGACGAUCCAUAGCUGGUCUGAGAGGGUGAUCAGCCACACUGGGACUGAGACACGGCCCAGACUCCGACGGGAGGCAGCAGUGGGGAAUUUUGGACAAUGGGCGAAAGCCUAAUCAAGCAAUGCCGGGUGAGUGAUGAAGGCCUUAGGGUUGUAAAGCUCUUUUACCCGAGAUGAUAAUGACAGUAUCAGGAGAAUAAGCUCCGGCUAACUCCGUG
rnacentral:rRNA from 1 species